UUGCACUGCGCUCGGUCACGCUGGUGAACUCCAGGCCAAUUAUUCCAGUGUCACAUCACAUGAUAUAUCCAUGCAAGACUCUUCUGACCGUGGUAAGUGUGAGCUGCAUUCGUAUAGAAGUAUCCAUAUAUACAUGUGCAUAAUCCAGUGCUAGGAAUAUGUCUGCCCUUACAGAAACACCAUUCAUCUUAGCAAGCAUCUCACUCCUAAUUAAAUAAGCUAUACGGCUAGAGCAACCAUCUACUUGCAAUUUCCAAGCCACUCUUCAUAAAUACUACACCCCAUGGUAUAUGGCCAUGUCAAAAAGUGAAAUCAGAUGAAACUCAACAAUCAUAUGGUACAUGUCCAUGUCAAAAAGUGAUACCAGAUAAAACUCACCUACAUAUGAAAAAAUAAGCAUCAAAAUAUAAGAAAAAUGAAGUACCAGUGACAAUGAGAAUAGGGACUUAUCCAUACCACCAUCUUUGUCAAUAAGAACUUUUCUUUCCCUAAACUUCCUGAACCUUUAGCUUGUGUGGCUGCGAUAUUCUUGAAAUGCCAAAUUGUAUGAGAACAAUCACGAUUAUUUAUGUAAAAAGGAGAUAUCUGUAUAUUCUAAUCUGGAAGUGUUAUAUAUGAUAAUAGUGUAACAAAUACGCAUGUACAUGUACACCUAGUAAGUUUACGGUUUACAGGACACACAUCGACCAAAUAUACAGCAAAAGUUCACUUCUGAAUUUAGGCAAGCAACAUAAAGAACUCAUAUUAAGAUACAACCAACAAUCUGUGCACAUACAAGAAACAUAUGCAUGUCAAUUCCAGAUAUUUGAAUGAACCUAAGUAAAAUAUUACAUGACCUUUGAAUUUAUACUAUACAAUGCUUAGGCUGUAGCAUUACCUGUUCCAUUUCUGUCAAAAGAACAAUCUGAACUCGGCCUGCAGCUUUACACCAAAAAUAAGACCAAUAACUUGUAGGCAUCACACAAUGAACUUCGUAGCUACAACAGGAGGUUUGUGACCAAAUUAUGCACUUAAAUGAGCAGAAGCACACACAAAAAUUAAUUUGUGGUCAAUAUUCAACCUGGUAGCAGAUAUAUCAUCAAAAUUCUCAGGUAUAUCAUUACAGUACUUAAUCCCCAUCGACAAUAUAUCAAUUAGAUUUAUAUCUUCGAACCUGCAACAAAUCUAGAAAUUAAAGAACAUUGUUCAAAGAAGAUUUUAUAUAAGACAUGAAGAAUGUAAUAUUCUAACUAUAAAUACUCUCUGGCACACCAAAUAAGAUAGCCUUAUGCAGAACAUAUGAACGUGAUAGUAGUGUUCAAGAGAGAGGGAGAGAUCACUUUGUUCAAACUUUUCAUCAAGAUUCACCCUCUUCUCUUUUUCCUCAGGUCUGCAUAUGUGUGUUUAAAAAACCAUAAAUCAAGGAGGCUGCAUAUUGGCAACCUAGAUUGGGGACAGGUACCAUGGCCAGCACCGUCUGGAACUCCAGCCUCGCUGUUCCUUCCCUCACUGCCAUUCUCCUCAUCCUCCACACCCACCAAGAAGAUCAUGCCGCCCUGCUCGCCUAGAUCCAGAAGCACGGCACGCGGCAGCAGCAGAUAGAAGAUCAGUCGCAUGGGUGAGAAAGAACAGAGAUUGUGCCAAAUCCAAGCCGUCCACGGUAGCAGCACCGGCGCAAGAACGGCAGCGACGCGGGCGCAACAGGCGGCAAGUUCUCAACAAAGAAGAGCACAACC
rnacentral:lncRNA from 1 species